GAUGAACGCUGGCGGCGUGCCUAAUACAUGCAAGUCGAGCGAACCGGCCAGGAAGUUCGUACUCCUUGCAUUCCGGGAAACGGGAUAGUAGCACGCGGAUGACCUACCUGUAAGACGUGGAUAACCUGGCGAAAACGGCGCGAAAACCGCAGGAUAUAUUUAAUAACAUCGGUUAAUAACAGAAGAUGGCUUUCCUGUGUCUAAUAGAUGGUUCUGCUCUGCAUUAGCUAGUUGGUAAGGUAACGGCUUACCAAGGCAAGGAUGCAUAGCCGACCUGAGAGGGUGAUCGGCCACAUUGGAACUGAGACACGGUCCAGACUCCUACGGGAGGCAGCAGUAGGGAAUCUUCCGCAAUGGGCGAAAGCCUGAUGGAGCAACGCCGCGUGAGUGAAGAAGGGCUUCGGAUCGUAAAACUCUGUUAUUAGUGAAGAAGGAAUGUGUAAGUAACUAAGCUUGUCUUGACGGUAACUAAUUAGAAAGCCACGGCUAACUACGUG
rnacentral:rRNA from 1 species